CAUGCCGCGUGUGUGAAGAAGGCUUUCGGGUUGUAAAGCACUUUCAGUGAGGAGGAAAACCUUAUGGCUAAUACCCAUGAGGCUUGACGUUACUCACAGAAGAAGCACCGGCUAACUCCGUGCCAGCAACCUCGGUGACUGAGCGGGCUGGCAAGGCGCAUA
rnacentral:rRNA from 1 species